UACGAGGGGGGCAAGCGUUAUUCUAAAUGACUGGGCGUAAAGCGCGUGUAGGCGGCUUUGCAAGUCGGGUGUGAAAGCCCUCAGCUCAACUGAGGAAGUGCGCCCGAAACUGCAGAGCUUGAGUGCCGGAGAGGGUGGCGGAAUUCCCCAAGUAGAGGUGAAAUUCGUAGAUAUGGGGAGGAACACCGGUGGCGAAGGCGGCCACCUGGACGGUAACUGACGCUGAGACGCGAAAGCGUGGGGAGCAAACAGG
rnacentral:rRNA from 1 species